rnacentral:tRNA from 1 species
UAUGAAUCAGAGAUAAUAGGUUAAAACUAAAAAUUUUUUACAAAUCGGCACCGAAUGCCU